rnacentral:rRNA from 1 species
ACGUAAUCAACGCGAGCUGAUGACUCACGCUUACUAGGAAUUCCUCGUUGAAGUCCAAUAAUUGCAAUGGACUAUCCCCAGCACGAUCAAGUUUCAAAAGAUUACCCAGACCUUCCGGCCAAGGUUGUAAACUCGUUGACUUGAUCAGUGUAGCGCGCGUGCGGCCCAGAACAUCUAAGGGCAUCACAGACCUGUUAUUGCCUCAAACUUCCAUUGACUAAUAGUCAAUAGUCCCUCUAAGAAGUUGACGACCAACAAACGUUGGCCUAACUAUUUAGCAGGUUAAGGUCUC